GGGGGCUGGGGGGGUCUUACCAUGCAGUCGAGCGGUAAGGCCUUUCGGGGUACACGAGCGGCGAACGGGUGAGUAACACGUGGGUGAUCUGCCCUGCACUUCGGGAUAAGCCUGGGAAACUGGGUCUAAUACCGGAUAUGACCUCCUAUCGCAUGGUGGGUGGUGGAAAGAUUUAUCGGUGCAGGAUGGGCCCGCGGCCUAUCAGCUUGUUGGUGGGGUAAUGGCCUACCAAGGCGACGACGGGUAGCCGACCUGAGAGGGUGACCGGCCACACUGGGACUGAGACACGGCCCAGACUCCUACGGGAGGCAGCAGUGGGGAAUAUUGCACAAUGGGCGAAAGCCUGAUGCAGCGACGCCGCGUGAGGGAUGACGGCCUUCGGGUUGUAAACCUCUUUCAGCAGGGACGAAGCGCAAGUGACGGUACCUGCAGAAGAAGCACCGGCUAACUACGUGCCAGCAGCCGCGGUAAUACGUAGGGUGCAAGCGUUGUCCGGAAUUACUGGGCGUAAAGAGUUCGUAGGCGGUUUGUCGCGUCGUUUGUGAAAACCAGCAGCUCAACUGCUGGCUUGCAGGCGAUACGGGCAGACUUGAGUACUGCAGGGGAGACUGGAAUUCCUGGUGUAGCGGUGAAAUGCGCAGAUAUCAGGAGGAACACCGGUGGCGAAGGCGGGUCUCUGGGCAGUAACUGACGCUGAGGAACGAAAGCGUGGGUAGCGAACAGGAUUAGAUCCCCUGGUAGUCCACGCCGUAAACGGUGGGCCCUAGGUGUGGGUUCCUUCCACGGAAUCCGUGCCGUAGCUAACGCAUUAACCCCCCCCCCUGGGGAAUACGGCCCCAAGGCUAAAACUCCAAGGAAUUGACGGGGGCCCCCCCAAAGGGGGGGAACAGGGGGAUUAAUUCCAUGCACCCGGAAAAACCUUACCGGGGGUUGAAAAUUACCCGGAAAACUUCCAAAAAUUUGGCCCCCCCUUGGGGCCGGAAAAAAGGGGGGGCAAGGGGUUUCCUCCCCCCCGGGCCCGAAAAAUUUGGGUUUAAUUCCCCCAAAAAAGGGCCACCCCCUUUUUUAUUUUGCCCCCCCCUUUUUGGGGGGGGAACCUUAAAAAAAAAUCGGCGGGGGUCACUUCCCAAAAAAGGGGGGGGGGAAAACCCUUUACAUUUUUCUGCCCCCUUUUAGGGGGGGGCUUCCAAAUAUUUUAAACGGGGAACGCAAAAAGGGGGUCCGCCAACCGGGGGAGGUGGAGCGAAUCCCUUAAAGCUGGUCUCAGUUCGGAUCGGGGUCUGCAACUCGACCCCGUGAAGUCGGAGUCGCUAGUAAUCGCAGAUCAGCAACGCUGCGGUGAAUACGUUCCCGGGCCUUGUACACACCGCCCGUCACGUCAUGAAAGUCGGUAACACCCGAAGCCGGUGGCUUAACCCCUUGUGGGAGGGAGCCGUCGAAGGUGGGAUCGGCGAUUGGACGAAGUCGUAACAAGUAGCAUUAACC
rnacentral:rRNA from 1 species